UACAGAGGUCCCAAGCGUUGUCCGGAAUCAUUGGGCGUAAAGAGCGUGUAGGCGGCUUGUUAAGUCUUGCGUGAAAUCUCGGGGCUCAACCCCGAGCGGUCGUGAGAAACUGGCAGGCUAGAGUGCGGGAGAGGAGAGUGGAAUUCCUGGUGUAGCGGUGAAAUGCGCAGAUAUCAGGAAGAACACCCGUGGCGAAGGCGGCUCUCUGGAACGCAACUGACGCUGAGACGCGAAAGCGUGGGGAGCAAACAGG
rnacentral:rRNA from 1 species